rnacentral:tRNA from 1 species
GCUUGGGUGGCUCAGUUGGGUGAGCAUCUGACUUCGGCUCGGGUCAUGAUCUCCCAUGAUCUCACAGUUCGUGGGUUCGAGCCCCACGUCGGGCU